rnacentral:rRNA from 1 species
AGUGAACGCUGGCGGUAGGCCUAACACAUGCAAGUCGAACGGCAGCACAGUAAGAGCUUGCUCUUACGGGUGGCGAGUGGCGGACGGGUGAGGAAUACAUCGGAAUCUACUUUUUCGUGGGGGAUAACGUAGUGAAACUUACGCUAAUACCGCAUACGACCUACGGGUGAAAGCAGGGGAUCUUCGGACCUUGCGCGAUUGAAUGAGCCGAUGUCGGAUUAGCUAGUUGGCGGGGUAAAGGCCCACCAAGGCGACGAUCCGUAGCUGGUCUGAGAGGAUGAUCAGCCACACUGGAACUGAGACACGGUCCAGACUCCUACGGGAGGCAGCAGUGGGGAAUAUUGGACAAUGGGCGCAAGCCUGAUCCAGCCAUACCGCGUGGGUGAAGAAGGCCUUCGGGUUGUAAAGCCCUUUUGUCGGGAAAGAAAAGCAGCAGGUUAAUACCCCGCUGUUCUGACGGUACCCAAAGAAUAAGCACCGGCUAACUUUGUG